AUUGAACGCUGGCGGCAGGCUUAACACAUGCAAGUCGAGCGGAGAUGAGGUGCUUGCACCUUAUCUUAGCGGCGGACGGGUGAGUAAUGCUUAGGAAUCUGCCUAUUAGUGGGGGACAACAUUCCGAAAGGAAUGCUAAUACCGCGUACGUCCUACGGGAGAAAGCAGGGGACCUUCGGGCCUUGCGCUAAUAGAUGAGCCUAAGUCGGAUUAGCUAGUUGGUGGGGUAAAGGCCUACCAAGGCGACGAUCUGUAGCGGGUCUGAGAGGAUGAUCCGCCACACUGGGACUGAGACACGGCCCAGACUCCUACGGGAGGCAGCAGUGGGGAAUAUUGGACAAUGGGCGGAAGCCUGAUCCAGCCAUGCCGCGUGUGUGAAGAAGGCCUUUUGGUUGUAAAGCACUUUAAGCGAGGAGGAGGCUACUAGUACUAAUACUACUGGAUAGUGGACGUUACUCGCAGAACAAGCACCGGCUAACUCUGUGCCAGCCGCCGCCGUAAAAC
rnacentral:rRNA from 1 species